AAGAUUUUCUAGCUCAUAAAUGUAAUAAUUGGGUUCUCACACUCAUGUGUGAGAUGUACCCCUCUCACCCUUGUUACAACUUCAGCACAUAGAUA
rnacentral:snoRNA from 1 species